CUGCGCUGAUGAUUGUUAAUGAGACGACUCAGUAUUUCUGACCUGCUGGUCAGUUCUGACUGGGAAAUGACCUCAGUUAAUCUUCUCUCUGAGCAG
ensembl:snoRNA Z30 small nucleolar RNA